rnacentral:rRNA from 1 species
UACAGAGGGUGCGAGCGUUAUCCGGAAUUAUUGGGCGUAAAGCGUGUGUAGGCGGAAUAGUAAGUCGAGGGUAAAAUUCCCAAGCUCAACUUGGGGCUUGUUCUCGAAACUAUUAUUCUUGGAAGCAUUCAGAGGCAAGUGGAAUUCUGUGUGUAGGGGUAAAGUCCGUAGAUACACGGAGGAACGCCAAAAGCGAAAGCAGCUUGCUGGGAAUGUCUUGACGCUGAGACACGAAAGCGUGGGGAGCAAACAGGAUUAGAUACCCUAGUAGU